rnacentral:rRNA from 1 species
UCAGUUCGGAUUGCAGGCUGCAACUCGCCUGUAUGAAGUCGGAAUUGCUAGUAAUCGUGGAUCAGCAUGCCACGGUGAAUACGUUCCCGGGCCUUGUACACACCGCCCGUCACACCAUGAAGAGCCGGGAACACCCGAAGUCCGUAGUCUAACCUAUAUGGAGGACGCGGCCGAAGGUGGGUUUGGUAAUUGGGGUGAAGUCGUAACAAGGUAGC